rnacentral:misc_RNA from 1 species
AAGGAGUCUAACAUAUGCGCAAGUCUUUGGGUGGCCUGCCCUUAGGCGCACUGAAAGUGAAAUAGGUUUAGUUUUAUUACAACAACCGGGCCGGGACUAUGGGCUUUAAUCCUUGUUCUGAGUUUACAUUAGAGCGUACAUGUUGGGACCCGAAAGAUGGUGAACUAUGCCUGACUAGGUCGAAGCCAGAGGAAACUCUAGUGGAGAAUCGUAGCGGUUUUGACGUGCAAAUCGAUCGUCGAAUCUGGGUAUAGGGGCGAAAGACUAAUCGAACCAUCUAGUAGCUGGUUCC